UGGGGAAUAUUGCACAAUGGGCGCAAGCCUGAUGCAGCCAUGCCGCGUGUAUGAAGAAGGCCUUCGGGUUGUAAAGUACUUUCAGUCGGGAGGAAGGUGUCAAGGUUAAUAACCUUGGCAAUUGACGUUACCGACAGAAGAAGCACCGGCUAACUCCGUGCCAGCAGCCGCGGUAAUACGGAGGGUGCUAGCGUUAAUCGGAAUUACUGGGCGUAAAGCGCACGCAGGCGGUUGAUUGAGUCAGAUGUGAAAUCCCCGGGCUUAACCCGGGAAUUGCAUCUGAUACUGGUCAGCUAGAGUCUUGUAGAGGGGGGUAGAAUUCCAUGUGUAGCGGUGAAAUGCGUAGAGAUGUGGAGGAAUACCGGUGGCGAAGGCGGCCCCCUGGACAAAGACUGACGCUCAGGUGCGAAAGCGUGGGGAGCAAACAGG
rnacentral:rRNA from 1 species